GCAUUAAUGGGGUAGUGGUAACCUGGGUCGUUGCCAUACGCAUACUGACCGCAGUUCCUUUAUCGACCCGCCGGGGGUUCGAUUCCCUCUUAAUGCA